CACUCACAGCUACCCAUCUCUCUCAUCUUCAUACUUACCCACAUGGCCAAAAGCCCGGAAUCCCUGAAUCAGACCCGGCAAGACCAACAACGAUGCCGUUUUAGGCGCCGCCGUGGACAUCACCACCAAGGAGCUUUAUGACAAGAUCGAGUUCUUCGACAUCGACAGUGGGCCGUGGAAGCAAAGCUGGAGAGUCAAUUACAAAGGCGACACUCUGAGAAGUUGAAGGCAAUUUUGGUGCCGCACUCGCAUAACGAUUCGAGGUGGACGAGUAAUAUGAGAGGCAGUCCAGGCAUAUACUCUGACACCAUUGUUGACACACUUUCCAAGGUGGUGGAGAGACUCGAUCCUCUGAUGACAAAAGAGAAUUGUUCACCAAUCUGGUAAAGAAUGGUCAACUAGAAAUCGUUGGAGGUGGCUGGGUGAUGAAUGAUGAGCUUGGUAUUGCCGAAGGAAGAGGACCCCAACUUUAGUUGAUAGAAAUAAAAGUUUGCUGGGCAAUUUUUGUGAAAUUUAGAGCUGAUAGAUGUUGGCUUUUUCGUGUGUUUUGAUUCGUUUCUCUUGCUGUUGACUAUCAUGCCAACAAGAAUUUUGAUUACCCUGUGGAGGCUUGUGCAUACAAGGCAGUUAAGAGGCCAUCUGCAGCAGAGCUGUCUGAUUUUGGGUGUUUUAUAAUAAUGGCUUGUGGUGUCAUUCUUUUGCAGCAAACAGACUGAAGAUGAACCUGAGAUGUGUGCAAGAAAAUAUAUACUUUACAAAUAUUGACAAGAAGAGUGUGUAAUGCCAAGACUAGGAGCAGCUCAAGUUCAGAAAAUUAUUAAAUAUUCAAUUUAAGAGCAAUGAACUUGAAACUUUCCAGAUCCUAAGUUGACAUGCUAAGGUACAACAUACUAAAAUUUCAAGCAAAUUGGAGUUCAGUAAAUAUGGCAAAAGAUGGAUGGAAACAGACUGAGCUGUGCAGCUUUCUUCAGAGUUUUUGUAGCAACUUGGAAUGUAAGAGGGAAAUCUCUCUAUAGUGACCUUAAUCUGCACAAUUUUCUGCAGGUUGAUAAUCCAUCAGACAUAUGUCUUGGGGUAUGGUUUCUCUUUUCUUAUUUUCUGUCUUCCUCUCUGAUUUUCUUCAGGUUAAUAAUCCACCUUUCCUCAACUCCUUUCGAAUUUGAGUUUUUGUUAUCUGACUUCGAUGAGAUUGGAUAAGGUGGUUUUGGGGCUGUUUACUAUGCCGAGCUGACAAGCAAGGUACUUGCUGACUUUUUUCUUACCGUUGUGAAAAUUUGGGUAGAAUUUGGAGAGAGGUGUGUAUGCAGUUUUCUUUUAUCAGUAAGAUAAGUCAUGGUACUUUUGGGUUCAUUUGCUAAUGCUUAAGUUUAUUGUUAAAUAUUAACUAGCAGAAACUAAGAAAGCUGUAGUUCUGAUUUCAAAUAGUAUUCAAUGAGAAUCUUAUUUUGAUUAUUUAACUUGAGGGGUACAAAGCCUAUGCUGAUCAUUGCAAUGUUAAA